GGCGAGAGCGGGGGUGUCGGCCGCUGGAGCAGAGCGUGGCGGUGGGGUAGAGUAGGGGAGGGGUUGAGGGGAGGUGAGUAGGCUGCCGCCGAUCUCUACGUGUGUUGGCCGCUGGUUGUAGUGUGUUUCCAGCGGUGGCGGCCGCCACCUUCCUGUCAGAAGAGGGCGGCGAUCGGCGUCGGAGGCGGAGCGGGACUAGGAGCCGGAGGAGCUGGCGGCGAGCGAGAGGACCCUUCGUGGAGCGGCGGAGGGACGGGUACGGCAGAAGCGGCUGACGGGACGAGCGCGGCUGGAGCGCUUAGAGCGCCGGCGCGAACCGUCACGAGCUGAACAGGAGCGGUGGCGGUCGCCACUGCCCAGGAAGGGCACGGAGAUGGCGGAGCACCGGCUCAGGAGGAGAGGGGUUUAGCUGUGGGCGGGGAAACAGCUCGGACGGCACGGUCGCUGUACUCGUCCUACCACCGGCAGCUCCGAAGCCUACGCCAGCUGCGUCUACUCUUGUCAAGUAUCUCGGCAUGGUCCGUCUUGUUCGACAAGGUGCGUACCCCAGACUAAACUUAUAAAAGCCUCUACGUAUUAUACGGUUUGUGAAGAUUUCCACGGAGCAGGUACCCGCGUACUAUCACCUUUUGUAGACAUUUAACACGUCCUAGGAUAUCUCGUUUACCCGUAGUAGCUGCACGUCAUGUGCGAGAGAAUCCGUCUAUUCAUUGGAGUCUGUUGAAUAAAACACUUCUGGCCACCAAGUACCAGACUUUCAAAACAAAAAGAGAGAUUUAAAAUAUGAAUCUAUUAGGGAAUUUACGAAAAAUGACGAACUAGUGUAUUAUGUACAGGCACGUUCUUUCCUCAACAAUUGACUUUGUUAUUACAAUUAAAAACAACAAUCGACUUUGUUAUUACAAUUAAAAACAAUUGAUGUUUGCCAGAACCUGUAACCAAAAAAGUUUAAUUGAGGCACAACUUGACCAAGAAGAACAACACACGACGUCGGGUCGUUAGACAAGUACGGUUUACUAACUCAGGACCACUCCAAGUAACGACCUGUACGUACCAGAGGCGUCCGUUCCUUGUGUAUUUUCAUUAAGUCGCACAAUAGUCUUUGAGUACUCGUACUUUCUAUUUAAACCUAGUACAAGCUUGUACCCAUCUCUCGUCUAGCUCCUCUUGAACUUCUAAUUUCCGUUACUUUCCAAGGCAUUUUACCAUCGCCCAUCUCAAGAACAAGAUGUGUUUCCUUCAAUUGAUUGGAAGAACAUAAUAGAAAUAUAGACGUACUAAAACCAUCUAACUCAACACGUUACCUAAUUGAUGAAACCAAGUUCAAAAGAAGAAGGAUCCGACCAGCUCUAAUUCUUUUCGUUUUUUUUUUUAUUUUUUUUAUCCUCUCAUCUUCUUUGGUGUGUCUUUUCGUAUCUCAGUCCCCCGUCGUAGUAGAGCAGGAGGUAAUCAUCAUUAAAAAGAGCCUGUGUUUAGAAUAAAGAGUAUGCGGUAACUGUUCUGUUUGAACGAACCUCAUAACCGAGGUCCCUCGUAUAUGAGGGACCACUUGUCAUUUAUCUUUUGUUUUAGGACUUCUACCUAGAACAAAACAUUUGUGUUAUUUAAAAGUUUUAGGACUUCAAAAAGACAUCUGGAAGUACAAUCACAUUGUUCGCACGAACGGUUAAUAAAGCCAGAUGAGGAACGAGAACGAAACCACAGCAGUGAGAUGAAGAGAGGUAUGUCAAAGUGGGACUGUACUUUUCGAUCAAGAAUAAUAGGUACAGUAAACAAAAACAUACGUAACCAUUGUGAGUAUACAUAUACACACGAGGAGUUUAUAAACCUAAAACUUGGUGGUCUGGUAAGUUUAUUUACGUACCUGAGAAUGGAUCUAUAUUUAUUUACCGUCCCUAUCAACGUAGUCAUGUACGAGCUCCUUGUGAUACAAACUGGUGCUUCUAUCUAAUGAAGCCAUCUUGCAGUCUAUUUAAUAUCGGCCCCAAUCCUAUGGAGAGCUCUUCGUCAUAUACGGAGCGAUCGUGUGUUCUUGUCAGUCAAGGUACAUACUUAGCCUGCUUGUCAACCCCGAUACAGUGUGGUGGUUAGCUUGUCAAGGGGCGGUCCUGGGAACAGAGCGAGCGUCGGCGCGGCUGUGGGCACCUAGCGACCUUCGGUCCGGCCGUGGGCACAGAUCGACCGUCGGCGCGGGCAGUGGCCCCCGUUUCAAACUUCUUUGUCCGGAGCGUGUGGACUAGGCUGCCGUUUGAAACUUCUUUGUCAAGUUUAGGUGUACUAGGCUUGCGUUUGGACCUUCGCACCUCUUAGUCCGGAACGAGCGGGGCGAGGCUUCUAUCCUAAACCUUUAACAAACAACAUAUACCUUUCUCGUUUUUAUAAUCUAAUUUGACAACAAAUACCUUCGAAGAGCACUGCCUUAAAAGGCUAUACCAAGGUAUACUAAACUAAACUAACCACAGCAUUUAACUUCCCUUCCUGCCUUCCAAACAACAAAAUAUACCUUCCCCC
rnacentral:rRNA from 1 species